rnacentral:miRNA from 1 species
UGACAUCUGGGCCACGAUGGUU